GAAUCUGGCUUCAGGUUCGGGACAACAGUUGGAAACGGCUGCUAAUACCGGAUGUGCCUAAUGGUGAAAGAUUUAUCACCUGAAGAUGAGCUCGCGUCUGAUUAGCUAGUAGGUGUGGUAAGAGCGCACCUAGGCGACGAUCAGUAGCUGGUCUGAGAGGAUGAUCAGCCACACUGGGACUGAGACACGGCCCAGACUCCUACGGGAGGCAGCAGUGGGGAAUUUUCCGCAAUGGGCGAAAGCCUGACGGAGCAAUACCGCGUGAGGGAGGAAGGCUCUUGGGUUGUAAACCUCUUUUCUCAGGGAAGAAUGAUGACGGUACCUGAGGAAUAAGCAUCGGCUAGCUCCGUGCCAGCAGCCGCGGUAAUACGGAGGAUGCAAGCGUUAUCCGGAAUGAUUGGGCGUAAAGCGUCCGCAGGUGGCAAUGUAAGUCUGCUGUCAAAGCGUCUGGCUCAACCAGAUAAAGGCAGUGGAAACUACAUAGCUAGAGUAAGGUAGGGGUAGAGGGAAUUCCUGGUGUAGCGGUGAAAUGCGUAGAGAUCAGGAAGAACACCGGUGGCGAAAGCGCUCUGCUGGACCUUAACUGACACUGAGGGACGAAAGCUAGGGGAGCG
rnacentral:rRNA from 1 species